GCCAGCAGCCAUAUCACCCUGCAACUCACAACUGGCAACCCACUGACUCUAAGCAGGUGUGAGCCUGGUCAGUACCUGGAAGGGAGACCACCUGGGAAAAACUAAGGUUGCUGCUGGAA
ensembl:rRNA 5S_rRNA 5S ribosomal RNA